rnacentral:rRNA from 1 species
UACAGAGGUCUCAAGCGUUGUUCGGAAUCACUGGGCGUAAAGGGUGCGUAGGCCGCACGGAAAGUCAGAGGUGAAAUCCCGGAGCUCAACUUCGGAAUUGCCUCCGAUACUCCCGUGCUUGAGGACUGGAGAGGAGUCUGGAAUUCACAGUGGAGCAGUGAAAUGCGUAGAUAUUGUGAGGAACACUAGUGGCGAAGGCGAGACUCUGGACAGUUUCCUGACGCUGAGGCACGAAGGCCAGGGGGAGCAAAACGGGG